UACGUAGGGAGCAAGCGUUGUCCGGAAUCAUUGGGCGUAAAGAGCGUGUAGGCGGCCCGGUAAGUCGGUUGUGAAAGUCAAGGGCUCAACCCUUGAAAGCCGACCGAUACUGCCGGGCUAGAAUCCGGAAGAGGCGAGUGGAAUUCCUGGUGUAGCGGUGAAAUGCGCAGACAUCAGGAGGAACACCAAUGGCGAAGGCAGCUCGCUGGGACGGUAUUGACGCUGAGACGCGAAAGCGUGGGGAGCAAACAGG
rnacentral:rRNA from 1 species